rnacentral:rRNA from 1 species
CAUGCACCGAAGCUGCGGCAGCGACGCUGAUGCGUUGUUGGGUAGGGGAGCGUUCUGUAAGCCUGCGAAGGUGGCCUGUGAGGGUUGCUGGAGGUAUCAGAAGUGCGAAUGCUGACAUAAGUAACGAUAAAGCGGGUGAAAAGCCCGCUCGCCGGAAGACCAAGGGUUCCUGUCCAACGUUAAUCGGGGCAGGGUGAGUCGACCCCUAAGGCGAGGCCGAAAGGCGUAGUCGAUGGGAAACGGGUUAAUAUUCCCGUACUUGGUGUUACUGCGAAGGGGGGACGGAGAAGGCUAUGUUGGCCGGGCGACGGUUGUCCCGGUUUAAGCGUGUAGGUGUGUGUUCCAGGUAAAUCCGGUUCACUUUAACACUGAGGCGUGAUGACGAGGCACUACGGUGCUGAAGCAACAAAUGCCCUGCUUCCAGGAAAAGCCUCUAAGCAUCAGGUAACAUCAAAUCGUACCCCAAACCGACACAGGUGGUCAGGUAGAGAAUACCAAGGCGCUUGAGAGAACUCGGGUGAAGGAACUAGGCAAAAUGGUGCCGUAACUUCGGGAGAAGGCACGCUGACACGUAGGUGAAGUGAUUUACUCAUGGAGCUGAAGUCAGUCGAAGAUACCAGCUGGCUGCAACUGUUUAUUAAAAACACAGCACUGUGCAAACACGAAAGUGGACGUAUACGGUGUGACGCCUGCCCGGUGCCGGAAGGUUAAUUGAUGGGGUCAGCGCAAGCGAAGCUCCUGAUCGAAGCCCCGGUAAACGGCGGCCGUAACUAUAACGGUCCUAAGGUAGCGAAAUUCCUUGUCGGGUAAGUUCCGACCUGCACGAAUGGCGUAAUGAUGGCCAGGCUGUCUCCACCCGAGACUCAGUGAAAUUGAACUCGCUGUGAAGAUGCAGUGUACCCGCGGCAAGACGGAAAGACCCCGUGAACCUUUACUAUAGCUUGACACUGAACAUUGAGCCUUGAUGUGUAGGAUAGGUGGGAGGCUUUGAAGUGUGGACGCCAGUCUGCAUGGAGCCGGCCUUGAAAUACCACCCUUUAAUGUUUGAUGUUCUAACGUGGACCCGUGAUCCGGGUUGCGGACAGUGUCUGGUGGGUAGUUUGACUGGGGCGGUCUCCUCCUAAAGAGUAACGGAGGAGCACGAAGGUUGGCUAAUCCUGGUCGGACAUCAGGAGGUUAGUGCAAUGGCAUAAGCCAGCUUGACUGCGAGCGUGACGGCGCGAGCAGGUGCGAAAGCAGGUCAUAGUGAUCCGGUGGUUCUGAAUGGAAGGGCCAUCGCUCAACGGAUAAAAGGUACUCCGGGGAUAACAGGCUGAUACCGCCCAAGAGUUCAUAUCGACGGCGGUGUUUGGCACCUCGAUGUCGGCUCAUCACAUCCUGGGGCUGAAGUAGGUCCCAAGGGUAUGGCUGUUCGCCAUUUAAAGUGGUACGCGAGCUGGGUUUAGAACGUCGUGAGACAGUUCGGUCCCUAUCUGCCGUGGGCGCUGGAGAACUGAGGGGGGCUGCUCCUAGUACGAGAGGACCGGAGUGGACGCAUCACUGGUGUUCGGGUUGUCAUGCCAAUGGCACUGCCCGGUAGCUAAAUGCGGAAGAGAUAAGUGCUGAAAGCAUCUAAGCACGAAACUUGCCCCGA